GACGAACGCUGGCGGCGUGCUUAACACAUGCAAGUCGAGCGGUAAGGCCCUUCGGGGUACACGAGCGGCGAACGGGUGAGUAACACGUGGGUGAUCUGCCCUGUACUUCGGGAUAAGCCUGGGAAACUGGGUCUAAUACCGGAUAUGACCACCGAUCGCAUGGUUGGUGGUGGAAAGAUUUAUCGGUACAGGAUGGGCCCGCGGCCUAUCAGCUUGUUGGUGGGGUAAUGGCCUACCAAGGCGACGACGGGUAGCCGACCUGAGAGGGUGACCGGCCACACUGGGACUGAGACACGGCCCAGACUCCUACGGGAGGCAGCAGUGGGGAAUAUUGCACAAUGGGCGAAAGCCUGAUGCAGCGACGCCGCGUGAGGGAUGACGGCCUUCGGGUUGUAAACCUCUUUCGACAGGGACGAAGCGCAAGUGACGGUACCUGUAGAAGAAGCACCGGCCAACUACGUG
rnacentral:rRNA from 1 species